rnacentral:rRNA from 1 species
CCUACGGGGGGCAGCAGUGGGGAAUAUUGGACAAUGGGGGCAACCCUGAUCCAGCCAUGCCGCGUGUGUGAAGAAGGCCCUCGGGUUGUAAAGCACUUUCAGUGAGGAAGAACGCCUGGUGGUUAAUACCCAUCAGGAAAGACAUCACUCACAGAAGAAGCACCGGCUAACUCCGUGCCAGCAGCCGCGGUAAUACGGAGGGUGCGAGCGUUAAUCGGAAUUACUGGGCGUAAAGCGCGCGUAGGUGGCUUGAUAAGCCGGUUGUGAAAGCCCCGGGCUCAACCUGGGAACGGCAUCCGGAUCUGUCAAGCUAGAGUGCAGGAGAGGAAGGUAGAAUUCCCGGUGUAGCGGUGAAAUGCGUAGAGAUCGGGAGGAAUACCAGUGGCGAAGGCGGCCUUCUGGACUGACACUGACACUGAGGUGCGAAAGCGUGGGUAGCAAACAGGAUUAGAUACCCCAGUAGUC